AUAAGAUACAGUUGUAUGCAAAAAAUAAUCUUGUAUUAUAUAGUUAUAUAUCAAAACUAUGGAUUUUCUAUGCACUUCCUGCGAUCAUUAAUGUUCAUUGUCUUUGUUCGGAUUUUGUUGGGCACCUGCGGCAAGCGGUGUCAGACACGACGGACGCUGCCAGGUCCGCGUCAACAUCGUGCUCACAGAGCCUGGCCGCUGCGUCGUGUUCUCCAUUUUGCAGUACAUGGUGAACUACACGGCAAAGUUCAGCUGAAGUUCCUCUAUUUUCUUCCUACUAAGAGCCCUGACGAUUUGUACUACUUGGCUGCAAAUUUGUGCCGUUUGCAUCACCAUACGGAUAGUGGUUUGUUCUUCUGGCAUUAUUCAUGGUUCUCAUCAUAGCCAUACUGAAUGAUGCAGGUGGCAUACCUGAAUUUAUCAUAUGAAUUAUGACUUUAUGAGCUUGCUUGGCUACUGACCUGCUGUUUUGGAAGGGCGUCCUUUUACCAGAGCUAUGGAUUUUAUUAUGCUCCAUUUCCUUCAGGGCGCGUUGACCCACCGUGGAUGUUGGUCGCUGCAUGCCUGCGCUGUUCUUUGCUCGGCUGGGUGGAGCGCUUGUGUUGCCAGCCUACAAUUGGCGUCGGGACUUUCGUUCGGUUCUGCUCGGCGGCGGUGAUUUCCUUCGGUUCUGCUGGGCCCUUCUAUCUAGCGGCCCCUAGAAGGGAGCGCGGGUGACGCGCUGCAGUCUAGCCUCCACCGCCGCCACCGCCUGUACUCGCCGUCUCGUCUGCUGCUGAAGCCCCCAAACAGCUCACCUCGUGGCAGCAAGGAGUCAGUCAAAAUAUGCAAGUAUGUGCACCCAGUUUGUUCAAGCCCCUUGCUCAGAAGUUGGUCUGGAGAUGCAAGAAUUGAAAUUUGCGUAUAUAUAACUGCAUUUUUACGCAGAAUUGAAAUUUCACAGAAACUACACUAAACUGCAUUGAUAUUAUUGAAAAAUGUUAAUUAAAUGUUAAAUGGAUAACUUUGUGAUAAUCUACACCAUAUCUUUAUGGACUAGGACCAAUCAAAACAACAUGCAGGAAUUGUUCAUCCUCAUGGAACCAAAAAACCAUCCAUCCACUUUCAUUGCAAGUCAACACUGUACUGAGCUUUCCCUGUCCAUAAACUUCCGAAACAGAAUGCCAGAUUGUUAAAUACUGACCAAGAUAAUGAUAUUUAGAAACAAAUUACCUCACCCUCACCUCUUUCUGAUUCGUUUUUUGCUGCUGAACUAUUGCUGUCGGCUGUCGGAGUGCCUUUGCUGCUUUGGGUUCUUGCUUAACUUCCGCCUGCUGUGGAUGCCGCUUUGUGCUUGGGUCUUUCCUUGUUGCUGCUGGUGUCGCCGUCUUAUUGCUGGCCAGGGGCAUGAUAUCUUGAGCAGCAGCCAAUCCUCCACGGGUGAAGUGAAGAUUUAUGUUUGUUACAAUUUCCAAUAUUAGCAUAGUAUGUAUUUGCAUGUUGCAAAGAUCUCGGUAUGAGGAGAUUUAGAUUCAUUCAACUCAA